rnacentral:rRNA from 1 species
UAGUACGGCGAGUGAGCGGGAAGAGCUCAAAUUUGAAAGCUGGUACCUUUGGUGCCCGCGUUGUAAUCUCGAGACGCGUUUUCCGCGCGGCGCUAUGGACAAGUUCCUUGGAACAGGACAUCGUAGAGGGUGAAAAUCCCGUACUUGCCAUGGAUGCACCGUGCUUUGUGAUACGUGCUCAAAGAGUCGAGUUGUUUGGGAUUGCAGCUCAAAAUGGGUGGUAGACUCCAUCUAAAGCUAAAUAUCGGGGAGAGACCGAUAGCGAACAAGUACCGUGAGGGAAAGAUGAAAAGCACUUUGGAAAGAGAGUUAAAAGUACGUGAAAUUGUCGAAAGGGAAGCGCUUGAAGUCAGCCAUGCCGCUCAGGACUCAGCCUGGCUUUUGCUUGGUGUACUUCCUGGGUAGCAAGUCAGCAUUGGUUUGGACCGUCGGAGAAGCAUGGCAGGAAUGUGACGCCCUCGGGCGUGUUAUAGCCUGCCAUUGGAUACGCCGGUCUAGACCAAGGAACGCAGUGCGCCUUACGGCGGGUCUUCGGACACCUUCGCACUUAGGAUGCUGGCGUAAUGGCUUUAAGCGGCCCGUCUUG